rnacentral:rRNA from 1 species
GAGGAAGGUGGGGAUGAUGUCAAGUCAGCAUGGCCUUUAUAUCCUGGGCUACACACACGCUACAAUGGCCAACACAAUAGGUUGCUAAGCCGCGAGGUGGCGCCAAUCCAUAAAGUUGGUCUCAGUUCAGAUUGUAGGCUGCAACCCGCCUGCAUGAAGAUGGAGUUGCUAGUAACCGCAGGUCAGCUAUACUGCGGCGAAUACGUUCCCGGGGCUU